CCUUGUGAAAAACCAACGUCCUUUUCUUGCCGAUCUCGAUAUCCUGGUCCCUAGCCAUUAUCACACGAGGUUUGCCCGUCGGUUUCCAGUAACCUUCGUUGGUUGUCCUGUUGAUCCUUGAACCGUUCUGGUACUUGAAACUUGGCCGGUAAAAGAAAUACCAAACGUGAUCGCCAGAGUGUAUAUUCGAAUGUCCUACAAAUUAUGGAAUUGUACAAAAGAAAAAAGAAAAAAGAAGGGGGUAUCUGAAAGUAGACCAAAAUGGUGGAAUAUAUGUAAAAUACCAGGUAAUUGCCAAGGCUCUAAUCCACAAAUAUCUUCCAAUUCAGCGAUAGCUUGGACCAGAGAAUCACGGCCGAGAUUUUUGUUUAGUAGAUAGUAAUGGAGGAGCUCGAAAUCUGUCGGGUGGAACCUGUAGCCCGUUAUGGUGAGAAUU
rnacentral:lncRNA from 1 species